GGGUUGCUUCCCUCCAAACACCGGGCACCGCUUACUCACGAGCAGCCCCGCCCAGGAGCGCGCUUUGCGGAAAGCCUUUCAGGGCGCCCCUAGUUUACACUGAGGCUGCUCAGGCCUCCUGUUUCCUCCCGAACGAACGGCGUGCGUUUCAACAACAAAGAGUGUCCGUGCCUCGUUUCUCAGCUGAUGAACACGAAGUCGGUCCUGACCUGUGCUUCCUCUUUCCUUCUGACUCAGCUUGUCGGAGGGAGGCCCAGGAGCCCGUGCGUGCACAAGGCAGAUGGCGGCGCAGAUACCGGGCCCUCCCUGGAACUCCUAACAGGUCAGCGUGCCAGACAGAUGGCGACAGAGACUCCUUCCUGGAACCCGUGAGGGACCUGCCCUCGAUGGGAACCCCCGCAGCUCAUGCCCCCGCCCUCACUGAACAGCUGUAUUAAAAUGCCUCACUCCCUCUCGGGGCAACUUCACUGGCCCUGCCCUUUGGGGCCGUGUGCCUCGCCCCGAGUGCAGAUUCAA